rnacentral:rRNA from 1 species
GAAAUUUUGCAGCUUAACCUGUAAAAGUGCCCGUUGAUACUGUGAGGCUAGGAUUUGGUUGCUGUGGGUGGAAUGUGUGGUGUAGCCGGUGAAAUGCUUAGAGAUCACACAGAAUAUCGAUUGCGAAGGCAGCUCACAAAGCCAAGAUUGACGCUGAGGCACGAAAGUGUGGGGGAUCAAACAGGAUUAGAUACCCUGGUAGUCACACUGUAAACGAUGAUAACUCGCUGUCGGCGAUAUACAGUCGGUGGCCAAGCGAAAGCGAUAAGUUAUCCACCUGGGGAGUACGACCGCAAGGUUGAAACUCAAAGGAAUUGACGGGGGCCCGCACAAGCGGAGGAACAUGUGGUUUAAUUCGAUGAUACGCGAGGAACCUUACCCGGGCUCGAACGGUGCAGGAAUAUGGUAGAGAUAUCAUAGCUAGCAAUAGUCUGUAUCGAGGUGCUGCAUGGUUGUCGUCAGCUCGUGCCGUGAGGUGUCGGCUUAAGUGCCAUAACGAGCGCAACCCUUGUCAUUAGUUACCAUCAGGUCAAGCUGGGGACUCUAAUGAGACUGCCACCGUAAGGUGAGAGGAAGGGGGGGAUGACGUCAAAUCAGCACGGCCCUUAUGUCCGGGGCGACACACGUGUUACAAUGGGGGGUACAGAGGGCAGCCAUCCGGCGACGGAGCGCCAAUCUCAAAAACCCUUCUCAGUUCGGAUUGGAGUCUGCAACCCGACUCCAUGAAGUUGGAUUCGCUAGUAAUCGCGCAUCAGCCAUGGCGCGGUGAAUACGUUCCCGGGCCUUGUACACACCGCCCGUCAAGCCAUGGAAGCUUGGGGUGCCUGAAGUUCGUGACCGCAAGGAGCGACCUAG